CGGCGUGCUUAACACAUGCAAGUCGAACGAUGAAGCCUGCAACUUGUUGUGGGUGGAUUAGUGGCGAACGGGUGAGUAAUACGUGGGUAACCUGCCCUCCUUUUUGGGAUAAGCCUUGGAAACGGGGUCUAAUACCGAAUAUUCUGGCGCUCUCGCAUGGGGGUGUUGGGAAAGCUUUAGUGUGAAGGGGGAUGGGCUCGCGGCCUAUCAGCUUGUUGGUGGGGUGAUGGCCUACCAAGGCGGUGACGGGUAGCCGGCCUGAGAGGGUGACCGGCCACAUUGGGACUGAGAUACGGCCCAGACUCCUACGGGAGGCAGCAGUGGGGGAUAUUGCACAAUGGGCGAAAGCCUGAUGCAGCGACGCCGCGUGGGGGAUGAAGGCUUUCGGGUUGUAAACCUCUUUCGCUAUCGAACAAGGCUCAUUUUUUGGUGGGUUGAGGGUAGGUGGAGAAGAAGCGC
rnacentral:rRNA from 1 species